AGUUUGUUAUACGGUCGCGGGGUCCCUUCGGGGACAAUGAGGAAAGUCCGAGCAGCACAGGACAGGGUGCCUGAUAACGUCAGGUGAAGGCGACUUCAAGGAAAGUGCAACAGAAAUAAACCGCAGGGCUUUGCCCUGUAAGGAUGGAAAGGCGAGGUAAGAGCUCACCGAUACCCCGGUAACGGGGUAUGCCAUGUAAACCCCACCCGCUGCAAGAUUGGGCGUCUGCCACACAGGGCUGUCCGUCCGGCAGAUCGCCGUGAAUAUCGCUUGAGCUUGUCGGCGACGGCAAGCCUAGAUAGAUGACCGUACACGACAGAACUCGGCUUAUCGACAGACUC
rnacentral:RNase_P_RNA from 1 species